AACAGAUCCUGAUAAGUUUUUAGAUACUAAACGGAUUCAAACACAUUUAAACAACACAUUUUCAGGAGCCUGUGAUGCUCCCAUUUAGGUGUUUGAUUUUCAACAAAAAGGGACAGAGACGAAGUGAAAAACUGUCGGCUAAUGUAUACUUCACACUUGUCUGACAGCACAAAUCAGAUCCCCCUUUGUAGUUCCAACUCAGUCAGGUUUUUCUGGUUAGUUUGUGUUAAAACAAAGCUCAAAGUUUAAAGAUUAAAGUCUAAGUUAAGUAACAGAGCUUCAGACAGAUCAAUGCCUCCAGUUAGCUUCACACUCCAGUGAAUGUUGAUGUCAUCAGCUGCAAAGUAUCAGUGUUAAUCUUUAAAUCUCUUUAAUGUCCUUGUGUUGUUCUUGUGUUUACUUCAGCGGUCAAAUGUCUCAAAAAUGAUCCACUUGUCUCCCGGUGGGAAAGCACUAGAGAUCCUUAUUAUCCGUACUCUUAUCGGACCUCAGCCGACAUUGAUGAAAUAUUAUGGUAUGAGUGUCGUCGAGGUUUAGAGGUUGUGGACAGGGACAGCAGAGCCAGGUGCACCAGACGAGGCUGGGAGCCAAAACCUCUUUGUAAAGUUCCUCGGGGUUGUGGAUCUCCACCAUCCUUGGAUAAUGGAGACUUCUUGGCCCCCAGUGGAACAUUUAGCCAUAAUUCACAGGUUGAAUACCAAUGUCAAGUCAUGCACAUAAUGGAAGGAGGCCCAUACAAAACCUGCCUCAACGGAGUUUGGACCGGGGACAUCAAAUGUCUCAAACCCUGCACGGUGACCGACGACCUGAUGCUACCAAAUAAAAUAAAAUUCAGAUAUGGACGGAGACAAAAGCUGUACAUCCCCCAUGAUGAUCACAUGUCAUUUGCCUGCAUCGAAGGAGCUCACCCUAUCGGCACACAGGAGAUGAGAGUGAUCUGUACCGAUGGAGUGAUGCUCCUCCCCACAUGUGUUUAAGAAAGAUCAUGGUAUAUGUACAAAAUGUAUACAUCCCUGUUAAAUACAGUUUACAAUACAGAUUGAUGCUGUUGAAUAAUUCAGGAAAAUCACUGACAAUUGAAUUUUUAUUUUGUUUCCUUUAAAGAUGCACUAUGUAACAUUUCUAUUGACGGUUCCACCACCAUGGAGAUGUCUUUGCUUUGCCUAGCAUGUUCACAAGUAUAACAUUCUCCAUUUUGCAUGUAUUCAGUUAAAAAUGUUUUAUGCCCUCCCAAGAAAGCAUGCAUUCAUAUAAUCAGUGUUGGGAAGGUUACUUUUAAAAUGUAAUCCCCUACAGAUUACAGAUUACACACCCCAAAAUGUAGUUUGUAACGUAAU